rnacentral:rRNA from 1 species
GACGAACGCUGGCGGCGUGCUUAACACAUGCAAGUCGAACGAAGUGGCGAACGGGUGAGUAACGCGUAAUCAACCUGCCCUUCAGAGGGGGAUAACAGUUGGAAACGACUGCUAAUCCCGCAUACUGAAGGCGUGGAUUGCGUCUGAUUAGCUAGUUGGAGGGUUAACGGCCGACCAAGGCGAUAGUCAGUAGACGGUCGGAUAGGAUGAACGGCCAAGUUGGGACUGAGACACGGCCCAGACUCCUACGGGAGGCAGCAGUGGGGAAUCGUCCGCAAUGGACGAAAGUCUGACGGAGCAACGCCGCGUGAGUGAUGACGGCCUUCGGGUUGUAAAGCUCUGUUAAUCGGGACGCGGUACCGGAAUAGAAAGCCACGGCUAACUACGGGCCAGCCGCCGCGGUAAUAC